GAAAAUUUAGUUAAAAUAUAACAUUAGCAUGUCAAACUAAAAUUAUUAAUAAAUAAUUUUCU
rnacentral:tRNA from 1 species